rnacentral:rRNA from 1 species
UUUGACCUCAAAUCANGUAGGACUACCCGCUGAACUUAAGCAUAUCAAUA